UAUUUCUUAAAAUUUAUCAUUUUAUUUCAUCAUAGAAAAAUUAUACUUUUUUUGUUAAUUUAAAAAUAAUUUUAAGGAAAAACAGAAAAAACUAGAAAUCUUACAGGAACACGCCUGCGGGAAGGGUCCCACUUGCGCGGGCAUCGCAUGUUACCCGCGCGUGCGCACGAGUGGCCAACAUAAGACGUACGCACGUCCCAUCCUUGCAGACGGGCACAAUCCUCGUGCGUUCCAUCGCAUGUAGAUGGGCAUGGCUCUGUGUGCCCUGUGCGCUCGCCAUCUGCGCAAUAGGCCUACAUAGUAGGCCUUCGCAGAUGGGCUUGCGCAUUGUCGGUCCUCUACCCAUGCACUCUGAUGAGUCCUUCUACGUAGUGAUAGAAGUGGCCCUUUUU
rnacentral:lncRNA from 1 species